GAUGCUCAACCGAGCCACCCAGGCAUCCCUGUUCCGAUGCUUUGACAUCUUGAGGCUUUGCUGACCCCAGGAAGACUGCACUUCCCAGAGCUAGCCAAUUCCCAGAGACGGACCACAGCUGAAAGGAUCCUUUACCUUUGUCAUGUGUGGCUUGCUGCCCUUCUACAGAGCUGGGGUUUAACUAAAAUAAAGAAUUCUGCACAAGAUCAGAAAGGCAUCGAAGGCCAGCACUGUGUUUUGAGAUUCUUCAAAUACACAUACCUUGUCUAGUACACAGGUGCUAAGGAUCAGAGCCAUUAAGUGACCCAGCCAAGAACAAAGUAAAUGAUGGACAACCAAGAGGCAAACACUUAAUGGACUCUAAUGGAGAGAGUACAAAUGCAUUGAGGGCUGAACUCUGCAGUCAAGACUGGUCAUCAGCGAGAAGAUGAAAAUAUGCCUUAUGGUAAGGAUGCUGCCAGUCUCAAGAGUGAGGGAAAGGAAGAGGCGGAGUCUUCGGGCCAGAGCUUGUACUGCAUCUGAGAAAUGAGAAAUGAGUUGGCAACUGGGGAACGAGGUCUCUUCCAUCAAGAAUGCCAGUUGCCAAAGUAAAAUAAGGAAACUGAUUUUGUUUGUUGAAGGCAGAGGAGACAAGACAAUUCUAAUUUGGAUGCUUCUCCCUGUCCAGCGUUUAGCCACUGUUAGCAAGAACUGGAACCUGACUUCCACAGGUCGUCUUUUAAAUGUUUUAAAUGGUCAUCAACCACAGCAAGUGAAGGAUUCCAGCUGAACUCAGGGUUGAACAAUGUGGCUCAAGAAGCACCUUUUCUGGAAUUAUGGAAAGCCACAAACAAACCCAGAAGUAGAAGAGAAAUAUUUGAGAAGGUCUAACUCUAUAAAGACUUCUUGUCAGGCUGGUGAAUGCUUCUGACAACAUGUAUUCAAUUGCAUUUCUAAGACUGGAACUCAAACUACAUAAGUUAAGUCUCAAGAGCCUUUUCAUAUAGUCGGACUAUUAUGGAGUUUUGAAAUUUUUGAUUCAUCUUGGAGUAUUCUAUUGAGUAGUUUUUUUCCAAGAGAAGUACACGUGUAGACUUUUGGGGCAUUUUAGUAUUAGAGAAUGUCUUUGUGGAUGUUCCUCAGUCAUAAUCCUGUCCUUAUAAACUCCAUAGCCAUUUCUCUAAUGUGUUUUGCCAAUUGGGGUUGCUGGGGAGACAUCUUAAGUCAGCAUUUUUGGGGUGUAUUUGUAAACAAUUGGUAAUUACUACUUCAUCUGUUGUCCAUAUUUUUUCCUCCUUAUUUUUCAA